rnacentral:rRNA from 1 species
AUUGAACGCUGGCGGCAGGCCUAACACAUGCAAGUCGAGCGGAUGAAGGGAGCUUGCUCCUGUAUUCAGCGGCGGACGGGUGAGUAAUGCCUAGGAAUCUGCCUUGUAGUGGGGGAUAACGUCCGGAAACGGGCGCUAAUACCGCACACGUCCUGAGGGAGAAAGUGGGGGAUCUUCGGACCUCACGCUAUCAGAUGAGCCUAGGUCGGAUUAGCUAGUUGGUUGGGUAAAGGCCUACCAAGGCGACGAUCCGUAACUGGUCUGAGAGGGUGAUCUGUCACACUGGAACUGAGACACGGUCCAGACUCCUACGGGAGGCAGCAGUGGGGAAUCUUGGACAAUGGGCGAAAGCCUGAUCCAGCCAUGCCGCGUGUGUGAAGAAGGUCUUCGGAUUGUAAAGCACUUUAAGUUGGGAGGAAGGGCAGUAAGUUAAUACCUUGCUGUUUUGACGUUACCAACAGAAUAAGCACCGGCUAACUUCGUG